CUCUAAAUCAAGAAUUGAAUUAGCUUCUCACAUACGCCUCUGCUAUACUCUCUCUCUCCCAUUAUCUCAAAUCGUUCAAAUCAUUAUCGAUCCUGUGCGACAAGGUUUAUUCAAUCUUCAAAUAUUCUGAUAUCUUCUUCAUCAUCUUAUUGAUCGAUUCUGUUUGAAUGGUUUGUUGUACUUUGAUUUCUUAUCUAUUGACUGUUAUGUGAUGAUGUAUGAAGUUAUUUUACAUGAUUUGAAGAUCGAUUAGCUUAUUCCUUUUUUCUUAGGGUUUUAAAAGCCGAUAUCAUGUUGUUUGUUUAUAUGAUUUGAAGAUCGAUUUCUUAUACGGAUUUGUUGGACAAGUUUUAAGUUUUAAGUUUUUAUUCAUCUCCGGCGCCGGAAUCCUUCAUCAUUGUACGGUCAGAUUAUAGCAAUAUUCUCAUGCCGCUGGGGUAUUUCGAUCUCGAUUUAUCGAUAAUUAGUUCUGUUACUAAACAUAAAUUAGUUAUUUUGAAGAAAUAUUGUGGUUUUGGAUUGAUUGAAGGUGCAGGAUUGAUGUGUGUUGAAUUAGGAUCUGUCAGCUCUUCACGGUUUUGAUUCAACAAGCCAAAGGGUUUAUUCCUAUUUUGAAGCUGCAAACAAAAGAUGACCAGGGAUAGAAUUUCGCAGUAGUCAGCGGGACAGUGCACGUCCAGAAAAGUUUUUGACGAAUUAGGGGACUGAUAUUAGCAUGUUGACUUGCAACCGUUUUUUCCAUUUGUGUUUAAGAUGGAAUUUUGCUUCUGGAGGUGAACAGGAGGAUACUUUGUCUGGGCUGCGCAACCUGUUUAUAAACAUGAAAAUAAGCUUCAAGAACAGUGGAAAGAAAUGGAGAAUCUUACUGGCCGGUUAUGUUGGGAGCAACCUAAGCAUUCCACGUGGUCGCGGAGAGCAUUGGGGGACACAUGUCACCCCAUGGUUAAGCCACCUAAGCAUUCCACGUAGAAUCUUCUAUUGGAAAAAAAAUCUAGAUCAGGAAGAGUGGUCCUUCCGCCUUUGGAACUCUAGCGCAACCAAAAGGUCGUUUAUGAUGAGGAGGCAAGAUUGAGCAGGUGAACGAUCAAGAGGAAGAAGACGAGGAUGAUGGUUAUGGCGACUUUGUGAAAACUUAUGAUGAUUUAUCACUGCCAUCUUUGAAGCUCUGAUUUAAAUGUGUUUAAAUUGUGCUAAUCGUUCCUUCUGGUGGUGGGCGACUUGGUCAUUCAAGCCACUUAUCCUUCCUACGAAGAGGAUGAAGCCAAGGGGUCACAAAAAUAACAAAUAGUUAAAAAAAUAUGUUUGCCGAUUUAAGGAAUCUUGCAAAAUAUACCACUCAUGUCGCUCGUAUGACCCCCUCGCUAUUUGUCUAUUAUUCCAUUUAGCUGCUUAAUAAUUUUCAUUGUGACAACUGGUUGACCUCAAACUGGACAAAUCUGUCGCUGGCCACUGCGGAUUGGUUGUUGUCUGUCGCUUCUGCACCCUUGGCUACACCAAACUCAUCCUCUGCGCGCAGUCUGAGUUAGACGUUACCAAAUUUGUAAGUUCUAGAUACUUUUCCGGGGCUGCUUUGAGGUUAUUAUUAAUAUUCCAACUGAGUUUUGUAGUGGGAUCACCCUGACUCACUUAUGUCAUACGUGAAGCAAAUCAAUGCAACUUCCAACAAGAUUUAGGUUUAUCACUAAUUGCUAUACAAUUGAGACCAUUAAAGAUGGGAAGCCUCUUCGUGGAGUUUUGUUCUCAAACAACCCAUACUCCAAAAAGUCAGCUGCUAAUGAUUUAAGAAGGAAGAGUUGCAGUUGACAAUGGGAAAAGGUUUUUGAGCAUCUUAUGAAAGAUACCAUAAGAACUCCUGAACACUAGACUUCCAGGUGCCACCUCAGCUACUGCAAAUAUGAAAAUUUAAGCAGCUUCUAACGUGUCCAUCAUAUGAUGUCAUUACAUUUGGAUAAAAAGUACUCUCGGUCAAUCAAGCUGACUCGAAUCAACCUGAACCCACACAUAAUUACUCUUUUGACCUGUUUCCUAACCUGGCUUUCGGCCCAUCUUUCCUAAAUCGUUAUCUUUCUGUUUAUUGUUUUUCGCCCAGAACUGGCAGCACCGUGGCGGUGGAGUGAGUCAAACAAAAGAGACACAAUAAGGAUAACUAAAGAUGAAAAUUGACAUGGUACCUUUUUUAAUCUUUAAUGAAUAUUUGUGAAGAAGCAAUAUAAGAAAUAUGAACUGAUUUCGACAUCAAUUCUGGAACCUUUUACGUUAUGUAUUGAUAUUUGCUUCUUUUUUGUCAACUGCUUUUAAUCCCUGCCGAUUGCUAGGUAGUCUCAGUUUCUCCCUAGGGAUGAGCUCAGUACCGGUACCGAAAAUCGCUAAAUAGGGUACCGGUACCGCAAAUGCUUAGUACGGUAUCAGUACUGGUAUUUGAAGGUAAAAUCCGGUAAAUACCGGUAAAAGUGGGUACCAAAUCGGUACUGAAAAUAAUUCGGUACCGAAAAUAAUUAGGUACCGGUACCAACUGGUUGUCCCCAAUUUUUUCCCUUGCAUUAAAAGUAUUUAUCUGUAAAAUGUAGGUAAAAGUCCAUGGGGUUUAUUCUUGCCGUUUGUCCUGGAUUAAACCAACAAUUGAAAUCAGUGUUUUUUCACAGUAACAGUAUGCUCCUUAUAAGUUGUUAUUUAAAAUUCAAAGUGGCUACUAUUCGAACUAUUGAUGCAGCAUACCAUUAUUCUUUGUGGAUAUUGAACCUCCGCCAUUGAUUCGUGAUUUUUUUUGCAUUAACGGACAUAAUUUUUGAUGGAAA